rnacentral:rRNA from 1 species
CAGUAGCCGCGGGAAUACAGAGGGUGCGAGCGUUAAUCGGAUUUACUGGGCGUAAAGCGUGCGUAGGCGGCUUCUUAAGUCGGAUGUGAAAUCCCUGAGCUUAACUUAGGAAUUGCAUUCGAUACUGGGAAGCUAGAGUAUGGGAGAGGAUGGUAGAAUUCCAGGUGUAGCGGUGAAAUGCGUAGAGAUCUGGAGGAAUACCGAUGGCGAAGGCAGCCAUCUGGCCUAAUACUGACGCUGAGGUACGAAAGCAUGGGGAGCAAACAGGAUUAGAGACCCCCGUAGUCCCCUGUCUCUUAUA